GGUUCUGAUAACGGCUUUAACUAUGGUUGGUGAACUGGGUGAUUCCAACUACAACUCUUCAGUGACUGACCUUCUUUCUGCAACGAUGAGUAAAAGUCAAGUUAAGGAGCUGCAGCACAGGAUGCCUCAUGCCUCCACCUCCACUAUCUAGCCUUUCCCUGAUGGGACAAGUCGUAGUCAUGGAACCAGAUGACCUCAUGGUAUCUGUUGCAAGUUCCUUGGAUGGGCCAUUUGCAGGAUUGUAACCGAGUCAGGGAUCAUUCUCAACUGCCUCAUUUCGGACCUCUUCUGGCCUAACCAAAGAAUGGGACAACCCCAGCCUAACCAGAAAAACAGUCUGGAGCCGGGAAAGAGGCCUCUGGCACUUCUCAUGCCUGCAGUGAUGGUUCCGACCUGGAACAAGUGUGGGACCUACAUGGCCCUGAGUAGCUCAGGUGGACUAGAUCGCUUGAGUGACGUCACAGAGGUCUGCUGACAGAUUUGGUUAUCUUUCUGAACUGAUCUGAUUUAACGAUCAUAGUCUGCUGACAUCUCCUGUUCCUCCACGAGGAGAAAAAUGACACGCUCUCUGGGAGGAACGCCUCCUCAGCCUCCUGACGCUAGUUAAGCACAACGCAGCCCAUGAAUGUUAAGGCUAGUUGGCAUGAUCACCCGAUGACGUCGGGUAAACAGUUUUCCUGGAAUGAUAAGUUGUUUCUCUGCCAUUAACUCAUUUAGCAGCA